rnacentral:rRNA from 1 species
GGAGGGUGCGAGCGUUAAUCGGAAUUACUGGGCGUAAAGCGCGCGUAGGCGGCGUGAUCAGUCGGAUGUGAAAGCCCUGGGCUUAACCUGGGAAUUGCACUCGAUACUGUCAGGCUAGAGUAUGGGAGAGGGAAGUGGAAUUUCCGGUGUAGCGGUGAAAUGCGUAGAUAUCGGAAGGAACACCAGUGGCGAAGGCGACUUUCUGGCCCAAUACUGACGCUCAGGUGCGAAAGCGUGGGGUAGCGAACAGGAUUAGAUACCCUGGUAGUCCACGCCGUAAACGAUGAGAACUAGAUGUCGGGAGGAUUUACCCUCUCGGUGUCGCAGCUAACGCGUUAAGUUCUCCGCCUGGGAGUACGCCGGCAACGGUA